GGACGCAUAUCCACAUUCAGGCGGCGAAAAUAAUGAGCACCAGUACGUGAAUGGAAAAUAUUUUCAUUCACUGAAUGUUCAGGUUAAUGUUUAUCAACGUGCUUGCAAAGUGGCAUCCAGGGUGUCUGCAGCCUUUGGAAGCAACUGUAGACUAUUGGACCGGGUCAUGCUAGGUGACAGUAGCUGCAUGAUAGGAGAGUGAUUGUUGACACCAUUUCAGCAUCCUGCACCCUUGCAGGAAAGGAAAUACAACACAGCACAUAGCUGUACAUGCAACUGGCAUAGCUAAAAAGAGAUGGGAUUGUCUCUAGGGUUUGAAGAUGGAACCAGAUCAGGCAUGUGAAGUGACUGUGUUCUCAAUCGGGGAGAGCCAGACAAUGAUGGCGACAAUAAUGAUGUUGGACAUAACAAUGAUUUACAUAAUGAAAAAUCACUACAAUAAAAUCAAUGACACUGUUUCAGAACAUGAUGCUCCCACAGAAAGAGCCCAUGUUGCAGCAGGCCAAGCUGUCAGGAACCAAUCUGUUUAUAGACUUUUCUUGUAAAUAUGUUAAACCAUAAUUUUAUACAUUUCAGAACUAUUUUGAUAACGAAGUUAGAACAUCAACAAUAGACAUAGUCAACAGUUUAGAUGUAGGCCCAACAUGUGUUACAACAGGUCAAGCUGCUAGUAUCCAGUUUAUAAGUAGAUUUUUCUUGUGAAUAUAUCAUAAUUUUAUACUUUCUGUAGAGUUCACAAUAUCAGAACUAUGUGACUGUAGAAAUAGUUAAAUUUUCAUUCUUAUGAAACUUAGUAGCUGUUCACUCAUACAGAUCUCUUUAGAAAGUAGCAAAUGCUUUUUAACUUUAAUAAAUGAAAGAUGCAGUUCUUCUUGGACAGGACAUUUCAAAAAAUGUAUGAGGUUUCCUUUAUGAAAUUAUUACAAGGGAAAAUUUCGACAUAGGCUUGCAGACAGUAGUGCAUGUGGUGGCCUCUGCAAGUGUUUGUCAAGAGUAGCGGUCAUCACUAAGACAUGUUCUUAAUGCUGUCACUUGGCUAUUAAAAUCUUAUAUUCUUCUUGAACAAUAUUUUACAUGUGCAACUCUUUGGAAUAAAUGUUUGAGGCUUCCA